AGAGCAGCAUGUAGCAGGCCCCCGUGGAGGAUUAACACAGUGGCUCAACACCGGGAAGGAACUGGCUCUUGGAGUCCGGACAUCUGAAACUUGGACUGUGAAUGCAACCCAUGAAAAAGAGGGUUUUCGGAAGCUUGACAUUUAUGAGGGUGAGGAAUUAACAAGCCAACAUCAGUCUCCAGAGUGAAUCCAAGGAGAGGACCCAAGACAUUCAUGUUCUGUGAUGUGGUGACAUGUUACCUGUCAUCUCUGAUGCACAACUCCUAAAGUGUUUGCAUCUGGGGCAGUUGUACAGAUUGCAGAAGCUAAUACUCAAGAUGUUCUCCAAGGCCAACUACUCAUCAGUUUAUUCAUGUUUCUGGGAUUGGAUUCAUGAACUCAUCCUUUGAACUAUUUCAACAAGCUUUUUCAUGUAACUAAUCUGCGGAAGGUAGAAAGGGUAAAACUGUUGGGUGCUAAAAUGACAACUGGUUCAAGGUACAACGGCGAAUAUUUUUAUUUCUGCAACUUUUCUUAGAGGUUGGAAACUGGACUAGGCAGGAAGAUUCCGUUUUGUAAGAUUAGUCUCCAGUUUUCAUCAAGCAGUUUAGUGGGGUAUUUUAGACCCAGUUCCCUCUCCACAGUCCCCAAAGUUCUUCUGUUAACUUUAAAUCAGCAAAGAGAGAGAUCUCUGCCAAGCAUCAACUGCAAGAGCAUGUGGGUCAAAGUUACCAGCAGACACUCAAAGCACAUUCACUUUACUUCAACACUGCUUUAUAAAUUAUCUUAGAGAUGUUGUCAAGGUUGGUAUCAGAGAGCUCCCAAGAUGGUGGCGGGCCACUUCCAAAAUGGUGGCAGGCCACUUCCAAGAUGGUGGCAAGCCUCGCGUUCUCUGGCCUGGGGUUCUUGGCCUCACGGAUUCCAAGGAAUGGAAUCUUGGGCCAUGCAGAGGAGCAUCAGAUAAUUAGGCAGCAGUC
rnacentral:lncRNA from 1 species